GACGAACGCUGGCGGCGUGCCUAAUACAUGCAAGUCGAGCGGACGGAUGGGAGCUUGCUCCCAGACCGUCAGCGGCGGACGGGUGAGUAACACGUGGGCAACCUGCCUGUAAGACUGGGAUAACUCCGGGAAACCGGGGCUAAUACCGGAUAACUCUUUCCCUCACAUGAGGGAAAGCUGAAAGAUGGCAUCUCGCUAUCACUUACAGAUGGGCCCGCGGCGCAUUAGCUAGUUGGUGAGGUAACGGCUCACCAAGGCGACGAUGCGUAGCCGACCUGAGAGGGUGAUCGGCCACACUGGGACUGAGACACGGCCCAGACUCCUACGGGAGGCAGCAGUAGGGAAUCUUCCGCUAUGGACGAAAGUCUGACGGAGCAACGCCGCGUGAGUGAUGAAGGUUUUCGGAUCGUAAAACUCUGUUGUCAGGGAAGAACAAGUACCGGAGUAACUGCCGGUACCUUGACGGUACCUGACCAGAAAGCCACGGCUAACUACGUG
rnacentral:rRNA from 1 species